GACGAACGCUGGCGGCGUGCCUAAUACAUGCAAGUAGAACGCUGAAGAGAGGAGCUUGCUCUUCUUGGAUGAGUUGCGAACGGGUGAGUAACGCGUAGGUAACCUGCCUGGUAGCGGGGGAUAACUAUUGGAAACGAUAGCUAAUACCGCAUAAAAUGGAUUAUCGCAUGAUAAUUCAUUGAAAGGUGCAAAUGCAUCACUACCAGAUGGACCUGCGUUGUAUUAGCUAGUUGGUGGGGUAACGGCUCACCAAGGCGACGAUACAUAGCCGACCUGAGAGGGUGAUCGGCCACACUGGGACUGAGACACGGCCCAGACUCCUACGGGAGGCAGCAGUAGGGAAUCUUCGGCAAUGGACGGAAGUCUGACCGAGCAACGCCGCGUGAGUGAAGAAGGUUUUCGGAUCGUAAAGCUCUGUUGUAAGAGAAGAACGAGUGUGAGAGNGGAAAGUUCACACNGNGACGG
rnacentral:rRNA from 1 species